rnacentral:rRNA from 1 species
UACGUAGGGUGCGAGCGUUAAUCGGAAUUACUGGGCGUAAAGCGUGCGCAGGCGGUGAUGUAAGACAGAUGUGAAAUCCCCGGGCUCAACCUGGGAACUGCAUUUGUGACUGCAUCGCUGGAGCGCGGCAGAGGGGGAUGGAAUUCCGCGUGUAGCAGUGAAAUGCGUAGAUAUGCGGAGGAACACCGAUGGCGAAGGCAAUCCCCUGGGCCUGCACUGACGCUCAUGCACGAAAGCGUGGGGAGCAAACAGG